rnacentral:rRNA from 1 species
AUUGAACGCUGGCGGCAGGCUUAACACAUGCAAGUCGAGCGAGCGGCGGACGGGUGAGUAAUGUCUGGGAAACUGCCUGAUGGAGGGGGAUAACUACUGGAAACGGUAGCUAAUACCGCAUACGAUCAGAUGUGCCCAGAUGGGAUUAGCUAGUGGGGGGGGUAAUGGCCCACCAAGGCGACGAUCCCUAGCUGGUCUGAGAGGAUGACCAGCCACACUGGAACUGAGACACGGUCCAGACUCCUACGGGAGGCAGCAGUGGGGAAUAUUGCACAAUGGGCGCAAGCCUGAUGCAGCCAUGCCGCGUGGGUGAAGAAGGCCUUCGGGUUGUAAAGCCCUUUCAGCGAGGAGGCGGUACUCGCAGAAGAAGCACCGGCUAACUCCGUGCCAGCAGCCGCGGUAAUUC